rnacentral:rRNA from 1 species
UGGCGGCGUGCCUAACACAUGCAAGCUACGCACGAAUGGUGGAGUAGUCUUGCUCUUCAUCGUUAGUGGCGGACGGGUGCGUAACACGUGAGCAACCUGCCUUCCGGUGGGGGGAUAGCCGGCCUAACGGCCGGGUAAUACCGCGUACGACUUCGGGCUCGCAUGGGUCUGGAGUGAAAGCGGGCGCAAGCUCGCGCCGGAAGAGGGGCUCGCGACCUAUCAGCUUGUUGGUGAGGUAACGGCUCACCAAGGCGACGACGGGUAGCUGGUCUGAGAGGAUGAUCAGCCA